GCAAGUCGAACGGAGUUUUAACGGAAGUUUCGGAUGGAAGUUAGAACUAGUGGCGGACGGGUGAGUAACGCGUGGGUAACCUGCCUCAGUACAGGGGGAUAACAGUUAGAGAUGACUGCUAACACCGCAUAAUAUAGCGAAACCGCAUGAUUUUGCUAUCAAAUAUUUAUAGGUAUGAGAUGGGCCCGCGUCUGAUUAGCUAGUUGGUGGGGUAAAGCCUACCAAGGCGACGAUCAGUAGCCGGCUUGAGAGAGUGACCGGCCACAUUGGGACUGAGACACGGCCCAAACUCCUACGGGAGGCAGCAGUGGGGAAUAUUGGACAAUGGGGGAAACCCUGAUCCAGCGAACCGCCGCGUGAGUGAAGAAGUAUUUCGGUAUGUAAAGCUCUAUCAGCAGGGAAGAUAAUGACAGUACCUGACUAAGAAGCCCCGGCUAACUACGUGCCAGCCGCAGC
rnacentral:rRNA from 1 species